rnacentral:lncRNA from 1 species
AGAUCCUCAUGAAGGUUAAGGAAAAGAAAUAUCCUUGUCAGCUAGAGCCAAUGAAAGCCCCACCGACAAGAAGGAGCUAGAAUAAUUAUUGCUAAUUCCAUCAUGAUGUCGGCCAUGACUUCGAGGAAUGAUGUCAGCCAAAGGAUGAGAUUGAGGUCCAAAUCUGGAGAGGAUACCAUAGGAAGUAUGUCCAUGAAUGAGA